GAUAAUAUAAAACACUUCUUUACAACACUUAAAUAUCUAUAAAACACUAAACUUAAUUUUUUUGACUUAUGAUGUUAUGAAAUAUUUCUCUGCCUCUUUCAUGAAUCCAUAGCUUUACUUUAUGCUUAAAAGAGCUAUAUACAUUUAUAUUUUUAAGAUUAUUUGGUAAAAUAUUAUACAACCUUGAAGCCAGAUAGUUAAAAUUUCUUUGUCCUAUUGUUUUUACAGACCUUGGAUUAACAUAAUUGUCUCUGUUUCUAGUACUAUAUGGGUGAUUUAUCGAUUGCGGAAUUAAAUAUUUUUUUUUAUAGUUUUUUAUUAAAAUAUUAUAACAAAAUAAUUGACGUACAUCCAUUAAACCGCUUUCUCUGAAUAACUGGUCGCUAGGGUAAGUAAUGGUUUUUUUAUAUAUCAAUUUAAUUAUCCAUUUUUGAAUAAUAUUUAAAUUUUGUAGGUGGCUAUCAGAUACUCCACCCCAACCAAUUAUACCAUAAUUCAAGUGUGACUGUACUAAGGCAUAAUAUAAUAUUUUUAAGUGGUUCCACCGUGCAUGUCUGUCUAUAAUUACACCCAGAUAUUUUAUAGACUCUUCUUCAGGUAUAUUUGUAUUCUGAUCAAUAAUUAGUGGACCCAUAUGAGGUAAACGUGCUGCAUAGGACGUAAAUGGAAGAAAUUUGGUUUUUUCUACAUUUAAGGUCUGACCAAGAUUCUGAUUCAUACCACACAGCAGUAUCAUCAGCAAAACUUAGAAUGGAACCAUUUACGUUAAGGGUAAGUAAAUCGUUUAUGUAGAUUGUGAAUAAUAGAGGACCCAAAACCGUUCCCUGUGGAACCCCAUAGGUAACGGUUUCUAGAUUACUUCUUACCCCACCAAUAUUUACUUGUUGUUUUCGGUUGCAUAGGUAGCUUUUUAUUAAAUUAUGUACAUUUCCUCUAAUUCCAUAAUAUUUUAGUUUUUCAAGAAGUAUUUUGUGGCUGACUGUAU